rnacentral:rRNA from 1 species
GGAGGGGGCGAGCGUUAUUCGGAAUUAUUGGGCGUAAAGGGCGCGUAGGCGGCUUGACAAGUCAAAGGUGAAAUCCCUCGGCUCAACUGAGGAACUGCCUUUGAAACUGUCUGGCUUGAGGCCGGGAGGGGGUAGCGGAAUUCCCAGUGUAGCGGUGAAAUGCGUAGAUACUGGGAGGAACACCAGUGGCGAAGGCGGCUACCUGGACCGGUUCUGACGCUGAGGCGCGAAAGCGUGGGUAGCAAACAGGAUUAGAUACCCUGGUAGUCCACGCUGUAAACGAUGGGUGCUCGGUGUCGCGGGUAUCGACCCCUGCGGUGCCUUAGCUAACGCGUUAAGCACCCCGCCUGGGGAGUACGGUCGCAAGGCUG